rnacentral:rRNA from 1 species
UACGUAGGGUGCAAGCGUUAAUCGGAAUUACUGGGCGUAAAGCGUGCGCAGGCGGGUUUGUAAGACAGGCGUGAAAUCCCCGGGCUCAACCUGGGAAUUGCGCUUGUGACUGCAAAGCUGGAGGGCGGCAGAGGGGGAUGGAAUUCCGCGUGUAGCAGUGAAAUGCGUAGAUAUGCGGAGGAACACCGAUGGCGAAGGCAAUCCCCUGGGCCUGCACUGACGCUCAUGCACGAAAGCGUGGGGAGCGAACAGG